ensembl:lncRNA
AUUUAAAACGUUUAAAGGUAGAGGCUAAGGUGAGGGUUUUAGUGUAGGGACGUCCCAAGGACACCGGAUAGAACUGACCGUUUGAGAAGUGCGCUCCUCUCACCGCUUUUGGCGGUUCACUGUAACGGACCAUAGACCUGUGCACUGCAUCGAUUACGGACAUUACGUUUCCUUUCCACGCGUGUCACCGUGGUCAAAGCACCUUUUCUUUCCUAAAACCUUUGUCGCGUUCAAAAAAACUGGGAAUUCGGAUGCAUCCCGUCUUCAUUGCGUCCAUAACAACUGGAAACUCGGGGAAAAAUAGCUCCGACUGGGUAAAAUCGUUUUGAACAGUCGUCCAAAGAAGAUCACUGACGUUGACCACGUUUUGUACCAGUUACCAGUUGACUUGAAAGCACCAUACAUUCUCCGAGCUACACUAGUGGACACGAUUAUCGGUAAUAUUACAGCAACAAAGCCAUCCGGACGCGGGGAGGCAAGCUGGGACUGACUACCACAUGAGUGAGAAUACCGGGGAAAGUCUAAUUUAACGGUAUUUCUCCGGUAUAGGCUAAGCGGUAGAGCCUACAGACAAAAAUAGAAGACAAUAUGAUAAGCAGAUCAUCUUUUGCUGACUCGAAUAUUCUACACACUUUCUGUCAGCAACAAUGGAAUUUAGUUUUAUAUUGCCUAUUCUCUUUACGUUUCUUGCUACUACUCUGGUGACCUCAUUGUUCAGUAACAACGAUACUCUGCUGCUGACUCGCCCUCUGGCUUUGCAGCAUCCAAAGCAGAUCACUCACGGGAGGAGGGAGCGAUGAGGUGAAAACUGGAUUAGUUAAAUCAGGACCGUCGGUAAAUCUUACGGAGAAACAGGGGACAGUAGCAGGGCUAACCUCUGCGGACAAACCGGAGGAGGACAGUGAAUGCCGAUUCGUGGGGAAGAUAACGGAUCCGGUGGCAGCGGACAGAAGGACAGUUUGGAAGGAGGGGAUCCAAGCUGCCGUGCACGUGCAAAUGGUGAAAUCUGGCAUUAUGUCUGGCCAACAGUGCUGGAACUCAAACCCCGCCUCAGCGCCGGUGGACAUUCCAGGAAGAUACUUUGGUCACCUACAGUUCCCUGAGGGGGGGUCUUUUCUCUUAGCAGAUAUGGAAGAAGUGGAUGUAGAUUGUGCGCCCAUGAAAUACGCCCCCAGGAUGUAGCGGACCAGCCAGAUGGAGAAGAUGAGGAGCUGGAGGAGGAACAGCGGUCUGUACUGGACUGGGCAGCAUCUCAAUACUCUGACGUGGCUUCCUCUCCUAGUCUCCUCUCCUUUCCCCUUAUUUAAGUGCCACUGCUUACCAGCAGUAACUGGCCAUGUCCAAAUACCCAUACUUGUGUUCUAAAUAGUAGGCUUUUUGGGUAUGCCAAAAUAUGUUUUAUAGGAUGUGAGAUUUAGAAAAUGUAGUUAAGGCCAGGAUGUCAUACUAAUUUCAGCUUUUCAUCUCGUAGAAUUUGCAGCACACUGUUGAGGAAGACGAUAGUCUUUUGAGACCCACAUGCGUUUGACAACAGCUAAUUAUCCAAAUAGUGAAUGUGGCGUGGAACAAGCGCCAUUUUGCAUUACAUGACGCCUUCUCAGUAUGAAUGAGCUUAGAAUGUUCAUCUUUGUUGCUUACUGCAUACAUUUUUACAAAAAAAGUAUGUUCUAAAUACUAUGUAGUAUGAUUAGUACACAGUAUGUAGAUUUCAGAUGUAGUAGACGACAGAUUUCAGACACAGCCAUUGUAAAUAGUCUUUCCAACUCACUAUAACCCUCUCCUGUCCAGUGUCCUCUGCUACCUUACAACCCCUCUCCCUUUCUCCAAGUGUCAGUGAGUGUUGUCUCUGUGAGGUGAUUUUGCUUAGCAGCUACUUCUAUCCACGGCACCACUGGGGACUUAGGACUGACCAAGGCUCCGAAAACAAGGGUAGAGUUCACCACUGACUUUACCUCUCUGUAAGCCGAUCAGACAGACAGACAGACGGACGGGCGGGCGUUGUAAUAAAAGCAUGGGUGCAAUGGGAGCAGCUGGCAGCCAUCUUCCAGCUGCUGAAGGAGAACCAGGAGACAUUUGGGGAGGUGUCAGAGGGAGACGUGGAGGAGCGACUCUACUCCAUCUAAACCCCUAGUCUACUCACAGUCGACUGUACUACGUCUAACUCUACUUUCCCCAAACUCUACUCUAUGUUAAUCCCACAUAAAGCUCACAAUGAAGAUUAAGGUGCAUUCACAUGGUCCACUGGGUUUCAAAGGGGGUGUUGUUUCAAAGGUCCACUCUGUUUUGAGGCACAUACUCUUCUCUAAAGAUUCUGAGGUGAUGGCAAAUCAGGCUUUGGAUAGUUGGGCCUGACUGAUUUGAUUGGUCUGAUAAAAUAUGAGGUUCUUACAUCGUACACACCCAUGAAAGCCAACAGUUUCAGCAAGCCUCACAUCAAACUCUUAUCUGAACAGAUCUUUCUCCUUUCAGCUAUUCCCUGCCUUGCCUCGGCCGUAUCCUUAUCUCGUCCAUUGCUAUCUCUCCUCAACCUUUCCCAUGGAGCACCCUUUCCCAUGGAGCACCCUUUCCCAUGGAGCACCCUUUCCCAUGGAGCACCCGUUCCCAUGGAGCACCCUUUCCCAUGGAGCACCCGUUCCCAUGGAGCACCCUUUCCCAUGGAGCACCCUUUCCCAUGGAGCACCCUUUCCCAUGGAGCACCCUUUCCCAUGGAGCACCCUUUCCCAUGGAGCACCCUUUCCCAUGGAGCACCCUUUCCCAUGGAGCACCCUUUCCCAUGGAGCACCCUUUCCCAUGGAGCACCCUUUCCCAUGGAGCACCCGUUCCCAUGGAGCACCCUUUCCCAUGGAGCACCCUUUCCCUCUAGACGCCUCUGUUUGAACAAACACAUCAUUGGUGCGAACACAAACAUGUACAUUAGAUACUCCAACACGGCUUCUGCUGUUUAUUACUUUUAUAUACCAUUCAAAGCAAUAAACACUGUGUAUUUGAU